UACAGAGGUCCCAAGCGUUGUUCGGAUUCAUUGGGCGUAAAGGGUGCGUAGGCUGCGCCAUAAGUCGGAUGUGAAAUCUCGGGGCUCAACCCUGAAACUGCAUUCGAUACUGUGGUGCUAGAGGACUCUAGAGGAAACUGGAAUUCACGGUGUAGCAGUGAAAUGCGUAGAUAUCGUGAGGAAGACCAGUGGCGAAGGCGGGUUUCUGGAGAGUUCCUGACGCUGAGGCACGAAGGCCAGGGGAGCGAACGGG
rnacentral:rRNA from 1 species